rnacentral:snoRNA from 1 species
CACCUCUCAGGGUCGCACCUGGAGAGUUGCCAGUACUCUACCAGUCUCGACUACAGGAGGGGGAGUCAAGCAGAGGCAUCCCCGUUCCAUUUCUAGCUAGGGCAGUGGCUAGCGAGUGGAAGGCCAUCUGCUACAAGU